GAACAUCAAAGAAGAGCCCCAUUACAGCUGAGCACUGUACAGAAUUGCAAUAGUAUCUAGUGUCGUUAAGAGAGCUCUUAUAAACAAACAAAAUAUUUGUGGCAAGAUGUUUAGAACAGGUACUUAUAGAAUCCUAGAGUGAGCGUCUAGACGGGGGGGACAUGGCACUCAGGACAGUGACCACAAACACACAACUAAUGUCAUUAAGAGCUAUCUUCAGCAUAAAGAAGAACAAGGAGUACUGGAAGUGAUGAAAUGGCUCCCACAGAGCCCUGAUCUCAACAUCAACGAGUCUGUCUGGGAUUACAUGAAGAGACAGAAGGAUUUGAGUAAGCCUACAUCCACUGAAGAUCUGUGGUUAGUUUUCCCAAGAUGUUUGGAACAACCUCCCUGCCAAGUUCCUUCAAAACCUGUG